AAGUCGUAACAAGGUUUCCGUAGGUGAACCUGCGGAAGGAUCAUUAUUGAUUUUAAGCGGACUGAACCUUUUUGGGUGAGGUCUUGCGAAAAUUUAUAUUUAAAACAUCCCACUCGUAAAAAAAAAAUUGAAAUUAUUAUAUAAUUUAAGAUCACUUUCAACAACGGAUCUCUUGGCUCUC
rnacentral:misc_RNA from 1 species